UCAAAGUGAAAGUGGUUCUUGGGU
rnacentral:siRNA from 1 species